ensembl:lncRNA
CACGACUCCUCUGGGUUCCUUUGGUUCUGAUUGGUUAAUUGACGCGUCCGUGGUCCAGUACUGCCUUUUAGCCCUGCAAACGAGGUCAAGUUAUCACUGACGUCGGCCUGUUCAUCCACAGUGACACUUUUCUUAAAUUGUUUAAGCGCAACCGCUCGUUUGAUUUUAUUUCCUGCGAUCAAAUCUUUUAUCGGGUGAAAACAUUUUUUGCCAUAAUCUCAUAAUGAGAAACACGUCAAACUUUAUGCAAGCAAAUUUUUUGCCACGUCUUUCAGAUUUAAUAUAUUUUAAAAGUUUACGGUAUGGAUGGCCUUGAAUACCCCCCCUCUCAGAUGUAGAAUCCAUCUGUCUGCUGACUGUUGCAGCUGGUUGCUCACAGGCUCCAGGCUGGGGAAGCCCGGGCCAGUCGAGAGCUUUUUAAAGGAGCUAUGCAUUGUUCUCGCGUCAAUAUCAGUAGUGUUCUUAUUUUAAACUUUUCUCUUUUGAGACUCUUCGUUUAUGUUCUUCAAAACCUCCAGAUCUCCCCUCCUGCUGAGUCUCCACCCUCCGUGUCUCCUCCACCCUCCUCCGCUGCCUCCCCUCCACCACAGACAUGAUCAUCCGGCUGGGAAGACUGACGCCCGGCUACUUCAGACUGCUCCAGCGGCAAGUGGCCGGAGAGGUCCAGACCAAGCCUCACGACCGGGCCGUGAACCAGAUUGCCAUGAUGCUGGCCAUCAUGGGCCUGGGCCUGUCCUACUACAGUGCCAAGCAGAUGACCGAGACGGCCCAGGACCAGCCGCCGCCCUGAUCAGAGCCCCGACGCCAGCCUGAAAUACUCUGAAGCCAUCCGCACGACUACAAGAUGAAGACGAUUUGACUGGGUGGGCUGGGACAGAGAAAGUGGUUGAGAUCGUAGGCCUGGGCCCGCCAGCACCCUUUCCCCCAUCCAUCACCCUCUCCUGCCCUCACCAACGAUAGUGUUGAGAGGGCUCUAGUCCUGCUGUAAGGACCUGUUGUGUUUUAGUUAGUCCUGCUGGAUGUUGUUCAUCAUGGCCUUUUUUUGGAGAAGCAGAAUUGGCGGUCUAUAUUUGGGAUGGGGGGGGGUGGGGGGGGUUGGAGGUGUUCAGCUAUAGUCGUUGCUGAGGUUCUGAUAAUGCUGUUCUAAACUGUGAACCUUUCUGGUGGUAUAGCGAGGAGGAAGGCGGGUGGAAUGAUGUGAGGGGGUGAGGUCUGCUGAAGGGAUGCGUGCCGCCUGUAAUCAUUUCCUCAAAAGUGGAGCUCUGGGCAGACCGAUGGCUCUCUUCAGUGUUUUCUAUAUAUUCUUUUUUUUUUUUUUUUUUUUUUUUUUUCAAUCACUCUCCACUUUAGGAAAUCCCUGUUGCGUGUCCAGAAUCUAAGCGGGACCUUCUCUCUCGGUCCAUAUUCAUGCUUGUUUGGUAUCUGUAACAGUAUUUGCACAGUAUACGAGUGAAACGUUUUUAGGAAGGACUUUGACGUUGUAUUCAUCACUACUUGUAUAUUUCCCCCUGUUCUGUUUCUGAGCCCUGGGCAGCACACCAGGACUGUCAUUGAAACGUCUUUCUUCAUUGAACUGUGCAUGUGUGUGUGUGUGUGCCCUAAUUUUAACCUAGAAUCUUCGAAUAUUGUGUUUUUAUUGAUGAAUGUAUAUGACUUCGUUUAUGAACUGAUUUAAUAAAGCUGUGACACUUUAAUUGAAAGAUUUCAAGUCGGUAAUUUCAAGUAUUGUUGGUAAUCCAGACAAUGCUUGAGUAGUUUAACCACAAACUGACAAAUCUCAAAACCCAGGCCUUAGAUGUUACUUCUCUGUGACACCACUUCCUGUGGCAUUUAGCAAUGUCGUGCGAGUGACUCACCCACAACGUAGUGUCCUCGGCUGGGGCGGAUAUGUUAAAGAGGUGUUCUUUAACUCUAGCGUUUAUUGAAUUUACCAGAACGUUGCUCUGGUGGCUAUUGGUAUUUUGUUGGAGCCAUUUUGUGUUCCUGGUGUUUGGCUUUUAAAAAAUGGCGGCUAGUCUACAAUGGUCUGGUUCUGUUGGCUUAGUUAAAAGAGUUUGGUUUUACCAACACAAUGUUCUGGUGCACUUAUAGAAAAGCUGUUCAAGAGCUCUGUCAUCUGUUGGUUGGGAGUCUGAGUGCAUGUGUAACAUGGCAAUGACGAGCGCUAUCAGAUUUCUCACACUUCUAGGCAACGCUUUAAUAGUGCUAUGCGACUGGGAGCGAACGCUUGAUGAGAGCCUUAUCAGCUUUUAACGCGUGCACGCAUCACAUUUUGUGAACCUCUAUACACAGAAGUCGUUUGUUUUUUUGAAGAAGGAAACGCGUGUCUGCUCGUUCAGACUGGGGUCGGUGGGCAGACGUGACGCCAUGUGACAGGCGCUGACCUCGUUGGGCGCCACGUGUCGCCCCCUCCGGCCGUAAGCCCCGCCCUUCGCCUUGUGCAUCACUGGGCAGAAAUACAGCCCGUAACCACUGUUCAUUGGCUGAGCAGUGGAGUGUCAUGGCCCGACCCGACUUGGGAAAGGAGGAUGGGCUACGCCUGGUUGGGUCUUGUUGUUUAUCCUUUUAAAAUGGAUAUCAUCCAGACUCCCUGGCCUUAGAUUCUUGGUAUGAUUCCUAACCUCCUGAGUCUACCUGUAAGCACUUUGCCAAAAAACAUAACCCAACCUGCUGUUUAAUAACCUGUCUCUGAAUGCACUUGUCUAACCCCUAACACAUAAAUAUCAUCAUCUCUACAAACCUUAUGCCUUGGCUGGAACAUUGAGGUCUUUAUAAGGUUGAAGACCAUACGUAUACUAAUAAUACAUAGAAUGCAUUAUAUGAAAUGAGUAAAGACCAGUUGGAGUAUGUAGCCUUAUAAAUUGUGCUCUGAGAUAUUUCCUGUGGAUCAACAUUUUUUGUUUUAACUUUUCCUGCCUUGAAGAAAUGUUUUUGUUUCUAUGUAUCUUGUGCAAUGAAGUCAAACCUCCAAAAUAAAAUGCCUUUAAA